rnacentral:lncRNA from 1 species
GGUCAUCAAUUUCGGAAAAGACGAGUUUGAACACACAAAUUAAAACUCACUGGUCCAGCUUGGCAAAUAAUAUCUGUAAUAAGGACUCUUUACCAUAUGUACCCAAUUCCCUCCGUAUAAUUUACCAUACUACGCUUUUUUCACAUACUAAUUACCAUACAUCUAGUAUAAAGAUAAUAUGUCACACGUACGAGAUUUCCUACGCAAUGAUUGAGAUACACUAAUUCUUUUCUCGGGAAUAUCAACAAGCUG